CACGUAGGGGGCGAGCGUUGUCCGGAUUCAUUGGGCGUAAAGGGCGCGCAGGCGGCCCGGAAAGUCGGAUGUGAAAUUUCGGAGCUUAACUCCGAAACUGCAUUCGAUACUGCCGUGCUUGAGGACUGGAGAGGAGACUGGAAUUUACGGUGUAGCAGUGAAAUGCGUAGAGAUCGUAAGGAAGACCAGUGGCGAAGGCGGGUCUCUGGACAGUUCCUGACACUGAGGCACGAAGGCCAGGGGAGCAAACGGG
rnacentral:rRNA from 1 species